UAAUGCCCUAAUGAAUGCUCUAAUUUGUAAAUUCUUUGCUCCUGGUUGCAGACCUUGCAUCAAAGCUGGCACCAGAAGAACUAUUCAAGAUGUGCACACAGGGGACUUUGACUUGCCUUGGCCUUACCUUGUGUUCAUGAGUAAUUUCAGAGAAGAUACUGACUGAAUCAUGCUGAACCCUGACAGGCUGCAGCACAGAAAAGUGAUUUGCUGAUGCAAUCCCACAUCCCCUAAUUGUAUUGUG
rnacentral:lncRNA from 12 species